AUGUGUUGUACACAAGGACGGGGGGGGUGGGGGGGUGCAACACCCACGCAGCCGCUCACGAAGAGGAGUCGCUGCCUCUGUGUGUGUGCGCGGCCAAGUUCACCCGCUGCACCCGCAUCCUCGGGGCUGUCGGGCAGGACCGGACCGGGCCGGGCCGAGAUCCCCCCCCCGCACCCGGGGACCCCCCCCGCCCCGGCCCGGCUCCUGCGGCUGCACCCCGCGCUGCGGUUCCCCGCACAGCCCCUCUCCCUCCCCGGCGUUCAGAUGUUUUCCUUUCGACAUUUAUAUUUUUCAAGUAUUUUUCAGUAACUAAAAAAAAAAAAAAAAAAAAAAUUAAACUCAACACUGAGGACCUGCCUAUUUCUGCCAACUUUAUAACUGUACAGUUUUGUAUAUUAAACGUUUUUUGGAAGUUAUUAAUUUAAAGAAAGAUCAUUUAGUUUAUUCAUUUAGUAACUGAUGUAUAAUAAACGCUAUUUUCAUUAAAGGUUGCUUUUUUCA
rnacentral:lncRNA from 1 species